UUCUUUGGUGAUCUAUCUACAUGAUAAAGCACAAAAUCAUAAAGCUAGAUCAGCAAAGGU
rnacentral:pre_miRNA from 1 species